GCUUAACACAUGCAAGUACGAACGAAAGAGGGAAAGAGCUUGCUUCUUUUGGAAUCGAGUGGCAAACGGGUGAGUAACACGUAAACAACCUGCCUUCAGGAUGGGGACAACAGACGGAAACGACUGCUAAUACCGAAUACGCUUGGGAGACCGCAUGAUCUACCAAGGAAAGGGUGGCCUCUACCUGUAAGCUAUCGCCUGAAGAGGGGUUUGCGUCUGAUUAGGCAGUUGGUGAGGUAACGGCCCACCAAACCUACGAUCAGUAGCCGGUCUGAGAGGAUGAACGGCCACACUGGAACUGAGACACGGUCCAGACUCCUACGGGAGGCAGCAGUGGGGAAUCUUCCGCAAUGGGCGAAAGCCUGACGGAGCAACGCCGCGUGAGUGAUGACGGCCUUCGGGUUGUAAAGCUCUGUGAUCGGGGACGAACGGUCCGUAAGCUAAUACCUUAUGGAAGUGACGGUACCCGAAUAGCAAGCCACGGCUAACUACGUG
rnacentral:rRNA from 1 species